CAUCCUCCAAGGCUAAAUACUCCUGACUGACCGAUAGUGAACCAGUACCGUGAGGGAAAGGCGAAAAGAACCCCGGCGAGGGGAGUGAAAAAGAACCUGAAACCGUGUACGUACAAGCAGUGGGAGCACAGGUUUACCUGUGUGACUGCGUACCUUUUGUAUAAUGGGUCAGCGACUUAUAUUCUGUAGCAAGGUUAACCGAAUAGGGGAGCCGGAGGGAAACCGAGUCUUAAUUGGGCGUUAAGUUGCAGGGUAUAGACCCGAAACCCGGUGAUCUAGCCAUGGGCAGGUUGAAGGUUGGGUAACACUAACUGGAGGACCGAACCGACUAAUGUUGAAAAAUUAGCGGAUGACCUGUGGCUGGGGGUGAAAGGCCAAUCAAACCGGGAGAUAGCUGGUUCUCCCCGAAAGCUAUUUAGGUAGCGCCUCGUGAAUUCAUCUCCGGGGGUAGAGCACUGUUUCGGCUAGGGGGCCAUCCCGGCUUACCAACCCGAUGCAAACUGCGAAUACCGGAGAAUGUUAUCACGGGAGACACACGGCGGGUGCUAACGUCCGUCGUGAAGAGGGAAACAACCCAGACCGCCAGCUAAGGUCCCAAAGUCAUGGUUAAGUGGGAAACGAUGUGGGAAGGCCCAGACAGCCAGGAUGUUGGCUUAGAAGCAGCCAUCAUUUAAAGAAAGCGUAAUAGCUCACUGGUCGAGUCGGCCUGCGCGGAAGAUGUAACGGGGCUAAACCAUGCACCGAAGCUGCGGCAGCGACGCUUAUGCGU
rnacentral:rRNA from 1 species